rnacentral:rRNA from 1 species
UACGGAGGGUGCGAGCGUUGUCCGGAAUCACUGGGCGUAAAGGGCGCGUAGGCGGCGCGAGCAGUCGAUCGUGAAAGUCCGGAGCUCAACUCCGGAUCGGCGGUCGAUACUCUCGUGCUUGAGCACUGUAGAGGCAGAUGGAAUUCCGGGGUGUAGCGGUGGAAUGCGUAGAGAUCCGGAGGAACACCGGUGGCGAAGGCGGUGGUCGUGGGCCGGCACUGACGCUGAGGAGCGAAAGCGUGGGGAGCGAACAGG